rnacentral:rRNA from 1 species
UUCGGGAACCUAGUAAAGUGGCGGACGGGUGAGUAAUGCAUGGACAACUUACCCCCGAGACGGGGACAACCACUCGAAAGGGUGGCUACUACCCGAUACUUCCUGGAGUCGUUGGAUUCCAGGUGAAAGAUUGCCUCUGUUUCAAGCUUUCACUCGGGGAGAGGUUUAUGUCCUAUUAGUUUGUUGGUGAGGUAACGGCUCACCAAGACGACGAUGGGUAGCCGGCCUGAGAGGGUGACCGGUCACACUGGGACUGAGACACUGCCCACACUCCUACGGGAGGCUGCAGUCGAGAAUCUUCCGCAAUGCGCGCAAGCGUGACGGAGCGACGCCGCGUGGGUGAUGAAGGCCUUCGGGUUGUAAAACCCUGUUACCUACUAUGAAUAUUCGGUGGUGAAUACCCAGCCGAGCUGACGUAAGUAGGAGAGGAAGCACCGGCUAAAUACGUGCCAGCAGCCGCGGUAAUACGUAUGGUGCGAACGUUAUUCGGAAUUA